rnacentral:rRNA from 1 species
UACGUAGGGAGCAAGCGUUGUCCGGAAUCAUUGGGCGUAAAGAGCGCGUAGGUGGCUUUAUAAGUCCGUUGUGAAAGUCAAAGGCUCAACCUUUGAAAGCCGAUGGAUACUGUGAAGCUAGAGUACGGAAGAGGCGAGUGGAAUUCCUGGUGUAGCGGUGGAAUGCGCAGAUAUCAGGAGGAACACCAAUAGCGAAGGCAGCUCGCUGGGACGUUACUGACACUGAGGCGCGAAAGCGUGGGGAGCGAAUAGG